rnacentral:rRNA from 1 species
GACAAACGCUGGCGGCGUGCAUAACACAUGCAAGUCGAACGGUCUCAUUAAGGUGAGAUAGUGGCGGACGGGUGAGUAACACGUAGAUAACCUGCCCAAUAGUGGGGAAUAACUCCUCGAAAGAGGAGCUAAUACCGCAUAAGCUCUCUCUUGUAAGAGGGAGAGGAAAGCUCUUUAUUUCGCAAGAAAUAGGGGGCGCUGAAGGAGGGGUCUGCGGCGGAUUAGCUAGUAGGNGGGGUAAAGGCUUACCUAGGCGACGAUCCGUAGCUGGUCUGAGAGGACGACCAGCCACACUGGGACUGAGAUACGGCCCAGACUCCUACGGGAGGCAGCAGUGAGGAAUAUUCCACAAUGGCCGAAAGGCUGAUGGAGCGACGCCGCGUGAAGGAAGAAGCCCUUUGGGGUGUAAACUUUCGUUUUUGGGGUA